rnacentral:rRNA from 1 species
CAGGCUUAACACAUGCAAGUCGAGGGGCAGCAUGGUCUUAGCUUGCUAAGGCCGAUGGCGACCGGCGCACGGGUGAGUAACGCGUAUCCAACCUGCCUUACACUCUUGGACAGCCUUCUGAAAGGGAGAUUAAUACAAGAUGUUAUCAUGAGUAAGCAUUUUCGCAUGAUUAAAGGUUUACCGGUGUAAGAUGGGGAUGCGUUCCAUUAGAUAGUAGGCGGGGUAACGGCCCACCUAGUCUUCGAUGGAUAGGGGUUCUGAGAGGAAGGUCCCCCACAUUGGAACUGAGACACGGUCCAAACUCCUACGGGAGGCAGCAGUGAGGAAUAUUGGUCAAUGGACGAGAGUCUGAACCAGCCAAGUAGCGUGAAGGAUGAAGGUCCUAUGGAUUGUAAACUUCUUUUAUACGGGAAUAAACGAAUCCACGUGUGGAUUUUUGCAUGUACCGUAUGAAUAAGGAUCGGCUAACUCCGUGCCAGCAGCCGCGGUAAUACGGAGGAUCCGAGCGUUAUCCGGAUUUAUUGGGUUUAAAGGGAGCGUAGAUGGGUUGUUAAGUCAGUUGUGAAAGUUUGCGGCUCAACCGUAAAAUUGCAAUUGAUACUGGCAGUCUUGAGUACAGUUGAGGUAGGCGGAAUUCGUGGUGUAGCGGUGAAAUGCUUAGAUAUCACGAAGAACUCCGAUUGCGAAGGCAGCUUACUAACCUGUAACUGACAUUGAUGCUCGAAAGUGUGGGUAUCAAACAGGAUUAGAUACCCUGGUAGUCCACACGGUAAACGAUGAAUACUCGCUGUAGGCGAUAUACAGUCUGCGGCCAAGCGAAAGCAUUAAGUAUUCCACCUGGGGAGUACGCCGGCAACGGUGAAACUCAAAGGAAUUGACGGGGGCCCGCACAAGCGGAGGAACAUGUGGUUUAAUUCGAUGAUACGCGAGGAACCUUACCUGGGCUUAAAUUGCAACCGAAUAUGGCGGAAACGCUAUAGCUAGCAAUAGCGGUUGUGAAGGUGCUGCAUGGUUGUCGUCAGCUCGUGCCGUGAGGUGUCGGCUUAAGUGCCAUAACGAGCGCAACCCUUGCCGAUAGUUACUAACAGGUUAUGCUGAGGACUCUGUCGGGACUGCCAUCGUAAGAUGUGAGGAAGGUGGGGAUGACGUCAAAUCAGCACGGCCCUUACGUCCGGGGCUACACACGUGUUACAAUGGGGGGUACAGAGGGCUGCUACCACGCAAGUGGAUGCCAAUCCCAAAAACCUCUCUCAGUUCGGAUUGAAGUCUGCAACCCGACUUCAUGAAGCUGGAUUCGCUAGUAAUCGCGCAUCAGCCACGGCGCGGUGAAUACGUUCCCGGGCCUUGUACACACCGCCCGUCAAGCCAUGGGAGCCGGGGGUACCUGAAGUGCGUAACCGCAAGGAGCGCCCUAGGGUAAAACUGGUGACUGGGGCUAAGUC